rnacentral:rRNA from 1 species
CCACACCUAAAAAACUUUCCACGUGAACCGUUUCCACCCAAUAGUUGGGGGUCUUAUUUGGCGGCGGCUGCUGGCUUAAUUGUUGGCGGCUGCUGCUGAGUGACCCCUAUCAAAAAAAAGGCGAACGUUUGGGCUUCGGCCUGAUUUAGUAGUCUUUUUUUCUUUUAAACCCAUUCCUUAAUACUGAAUAUACUGUGGGGACGAAAGUCUCUGCUUUUAACUAGAUAGCAACUUUCAGCAGUGGAUGUCUAGGCUCGCACAUCGAUGAAGAACGCUGCGAACUGCGAUACGUAAUGCGAAUUGCAGGAUUCAGUGAGUCAUCGAAAUUUUGAACGCAUAUUGCACUUCCGGGUUAGUCCUGGAAGUAUGCCUGUAUCAGUGUCCGUACAUUAAACUUGACUUUCUUCCUUCCGUGUAGUCGGUGGAGGAGAUGUCAGAUGUGAAGUGUCUUGCGAUUGGUCUUCGGACCGGCUGCGAGUCCUUUUAAAUGUACUAAACUGAACUUCUCUUUGCUCGAAAAGUGGUGGCGUUGCUGGUUGUGAAGGCUGCUAUUGUGGCAAAUUGGCGACUGGUUUGUCUGCUGCGGCAUUAAUGGAAGAGUGUUCGAUUCGUGGUAUGGUUGGCUUCGGCUGAACAAUGCACUUAUUGGACGUUUUUCCUGCUGUGGCGUGAUGGACUGGUGAACCAUAGCUCGGUGGCUUGGCUUUUGAAUUGGCUUUGCUGUUGCGAAGUAGGGUGGCAGCUUCGGUUGUCGAGGGUCGAUCCAUUUGGGAACUUAAUGUGUACUUCGGUAUGCAUCUCAA